CUCAUGUUGAAGGGGGCCAUGAGCCUCACCACGUACUGACGGUCCUUCGGGAGCUUCAGCUUCGGGAUCUUGGCCGGAUCGAAGUCCGGGGGGGAGAAAGAGAAGAUUUAGGAAUAUUUCUAUGGACCGAGAGCAGAUUUGGGAAUUCUGGAGCACCGGAAAUCUUCUCACUCCCCACAGCACCGGGAGGAGGCUGCAGCCAGAAGUGCCCACGGCGGGUGUACAACCCAGCCAAGAGUCCGCCGGAGAGCCGCGGCCUCACAAGAGGUUCCGCGUGUUCUUGGCUCCUGGCUGUGCUCCGCCUCCGGCUGGGGAACGCCGGAGCUGCGACCCGGGGCUGGGAAAACGCGGCUUCCUCACAGCACCACGGGAUGGGGCCCCGGCCUCCCCCGAUGUCCCAUCACACGUAUUCAUCGAGUAGAUAAAAGUCACCAAACAGUC